UUCUUAAAAUCGUAGCAUCAACGCACAACCCACACACCGCUCAUCCGCCACCACGGUCCGCAAACACAGCACACCCAGACGAACCGCGCCCCGCACGCCUAGGCGCGUGCAGGCAAGCGGAAGCAUACGGGAGGGCCGAGCCAACGCCGCUGGACAGGGAUCGGGGGAAGCGACGAAGAAUAUUCAAGGGACAGACAGAUGCGUGAGGUGCUUCGAGCGAUAGCCGAACAGCCGCACCGUCUUAAGCAACACGCCCAACCCACACCGCAUCGGGCACCGUCGUACGUCGACCCUAGAUGUAGGGCGAGCACGACACGUUGCCACUCGGGAGUGGACACGAACAGGUAACCGUCUUCCGCAACGUGCCCCCUCAAAGUGCUGGGACGAGCACGUCGCGUUGCCCCCUGCCCACGACACCCGCUGCCGCACGCAUAUCCAUCAUCCGCGUCGUGCGCCACACUAGGCCUGGCCAAGCGUUGGGCUGCGCAAGACGCGUUGCCCCUCGCGGGGGCGAACAGGCCGCCCGCCGUUCCCACGUCGUGCUCGGACUUGGGAUGAUCCCCCUAGUCUUGGGCCGAGCACAAGGUGUUGCCCCGAGCGUGUGCCCAAGGCACAACUCCACCACGCCAUGCUCCCUAGGUGGUGCCUAGGUGGGCCGUGCACGGACGUGUUUCCCUUCUUGUUGGUCCUUCGGUGAUCGGGGUUCGCCGCAGCCAGACGCCCGUGCUCGACCUUGGACCCGGGGCGGGGGACCCCGGCGG